CCUGGCUUAGGAUGAACGCUAGCGACAGGCCUAACACAUGCAAGUCGAGGGGCAGCACAAGGAGCAAUCUGAGGUGGCGACCGGCGCACGGGUGAGUAACACGUAUGCAACCUGCCUGUAAGCGGGGAAUAACCCGUUGAAAGACGGACUAAUACCGCAUAAUACUAAAUUACUGCAUGGUAAUUUAUUUAAACAUUUAUGGCUUACAGAUGGGCAUGCGCAUGAUUAGCUAGUUGGAGAGGUAACGGCUCCCCAAGGCAACGAUCAUUAGGGGUUCUGAGAGGAAGGUCCCCCACACUGGUACUGAGACACGGACCAGACUCCUACGGGAGGCAGCAGUGAGGAAUAUUGGUCAAUGGACGAGAGUCUGAACCAGCCAAGUCGCGUACAGGAAGAAUGUCCUAAUGGAUUGUAAACUGCUUUUGCAGGGGAAUAAAGUGCAUCACGUGUGAUGUUUUGUAUGUACUCUGCGAAUAAGGAUCGGCUAACUCCGUGCCAGCAGCGGC
rnacentral:rRNA from 1 species